AUUUUCCAAAAAUAUGACAAAAUAUUUUAAAAUAUGCUGAUUUAAAAUGCACUUUAAAUACUUAAAUGCACUUUCAUAGUCAUUAAAGUGUAUUCUCUUUAAGUACACAUAAGCGGCCUUUUACUUCGUUAAUAUUAUAUUAUUGGCAAGUACAGCUUUUAAAAUUCUUUUGAAAUUUACAUUCAAUAUAAUAAAGCUCACUUCUUGACAGUGCAGUUUCAUACAAAGAGUCAGUCUCAUGAUAGGAAGAAGAAGAGAAAGAAGCAGCAGCAGAAGAAUAAGAAGAAACGUAAAUCCUCUACAGUAAUGAGAGUUAAAUGUGCUUUGAUUUGUGCUGUGGACUGCAUGCGUGUGGUAAAUAGUAGAGGAGGUCUGCCUGGAGAAACUUCAUCAAAGGCAAAAUGAUGGACUCUGCGAUCCUGCCAGUUGCUGACUCACCCUCAACAUUUCAGCAACCCAGCGAUCAAACUCCCUUCCUGUUUGUAGCGGUAACACCUGAAGACCAUUAGAGAGAAGGCAAUAAAUGGAACCUCAUGGAGUCAUAGAUGGAUUUAGUGGAAUUGGUUAUGGAGGUUUGCUCCUGGAAGUAAAGGAUCAUCCUUGUCCUGGAUUUUCCAAGCAGCUUAGCUUUCUAAAUAUUCUUCUGAACUCCUGUAAGAAGUGGCAGGUAGGAUUUGUUAUCCUUCUGGGAUGUUCCUUCCAGGCUAUUGAACCACUGAGCCUCAAACCACCACAACUAAAGAAAGCUCCUCGUCUUUGUGGUGAAUGGAACUACAAUGGAGAAAAAUACAGAAAAAGAAAAAGCGGCACAGCUGAGCUAUGGCUUCCCACUGAAUUAAUGAGGCCUUCAGUGAAAGAGGAAGCAGGGAUGUGGGUAAAAGGAAGGACCAAUAGCCCUGGGAUUCCUAUUCAAUAA
ensembl:lncRNA